AAAACGGAUCCGGUUGGAAACCAGAAGGGCCGGUUCGAGGAAAUCCUGCUGUGUUUGGGACAAUGCACACUAAUCAACAGGUGCACUGUAAGUGAGCCAGAGAGGCUCAUUUCCAUCUGCUGCCCCGGCCGGAUGUUUUAAAGACACCCUGAAAAAACAUUAGAAAUCUCGACAGGAAAUAUUCACUGAAAAGUUCCAUAGAAAAAUUAAUAGACAAACGGACACAACUCAUACACAAAACCAAUACAAAGCAAAAGAAAAGGAAAAUGUACGACAAUAGAGAGCAACCAUACCAGGCUGCAGCACUCACACACCUACAGUGGAAGCACAUAUACAGUAAACCACUGAAGCACAUAACAUACACAGCAUUUCACGAGUGAGCUGCCUUCACAGCGAAUGCAGAUUUGCUAAAGGCGCUUGACCUGUGUGAAAUAACACAGUGAAAAAGAUCCAGUAAGUCUGCUGCUUUGACUGCUUUGUUUGAUAAAAUCACUAAGUGGAGGCCGGGCAUUAGUUUUGCUGUGGUAGAUGUUAUGUGAGACUGAGAAAAUACAUGUUCUUUAUUAUGGGGGAAAUUAUCUGGAGAAAAGUUAUUCGAUAGGUAAUAGCAAUGUAAUAUAAAUUUGCUAUGGGUUUUGUAUAAACAAAUAUAAAUGCUCUGAAAGGAAACCGGAUAUGUUCCAACUCAAGCAUGAAAAGAAACACUGAAAGUAGACACCUGAGGUAUCUGUAAGAGGUGUGUUCAUCCAUGAAAUAAAUAAAUAAAAUAUAUAUGUAUG